rnacentral:lncRNA from 1 species
UUGAACUAAAAAUAGUUUUUCCGUGCAGGUUCUAACCGCCUGGAAGUUAAUAAUCAAAAACUAAUUUUCAAAACAAUCAAUUCGAAAAAAGAAACAGUAUAAUAAAAGAAGCCGAAAUACUUACACGAGAGCUGCUCGUAUAAGCUGUAGCAUUGCAUCCGACGACGAUAAUUAUGUUAUCAUCCGAUAUCCAGAAAGGUGUAUCCGUGAAAUCCAGGUAGCCAAAUUGGUAAAUCAUAGUACCAGUGGCUGUGUCAUUGCACUGCGACGAGAUCGUCAUGGCGUUCAUCCAGGCCUUGCCGUCAGGCAAGGAGAUCUUGGUCACCUCGAUCGGCUCGUUAUACCACGUUGUAUUUACAAAAGGCUUGCUGACGCCGCCAACCACAGACGUGCAGUUGAUGGUAAAGCCGCUGUGCAACGCGCACUUCUCGUCGAUGCCAAACGGGAAUGGAAUGUCGACGUUGCCACACUUAGCCGGGCAGUCGGGACGCUGGCCUGCCGGUACAUCGGCCGUGGCCAACACCCAAAUCGCCGAAAGGCAGAGAAGAGCAUGCCAGGAAAGAAGAAACCGAGAACACCCCAGCUUCACCAUUGCAGGUUAACCGGUAGGUGUGGAUGUGUCCUCCUGUCCUGAGUUCCUAGCUAUUCCAGGGCUAUAAAUAGUUCUCGCGAAUGGACAACGGGAGCCUGAAGGUUGACUACUACUUGACUUGUGGUUAUACAUACUAUAUAGUUAUUUUUCAAGAAAUGGAAACGUUUUUUUUUUCAGGAAAUGGAAUGCCGCUGUGCAACUGGACUUGUGGUUAGACAAAAAAGCAUAAUAGUUAUUUUUCAAGAAAUGGAAAGCUUUUUUUUUUUUGUGAAAUCAAGAAAUGGAAACCUCCUUCAUAAUAUUAUUCACCAUUUUCAAGAAAUGGAACUCUACCAGUCCUGCUAGAGUUGCUCUUAGGGUAUCCAGUUUUGUUCCAGUGGUUUGAUGGCUUUUAACAGCCGAAUUGACGCAUGUGGCAAAAUUAGAAAAAAAAAAGCAACAGAGCCAAUGAGGUUACCGGUUUCAGGUUUUCACUGGCCAGAUCAUCGGCUCAAUUUGUUCACUCGCAACGAAAUAACUGAAUAUUUAAGCUAAUCCUUUUUUAAUAAACUAACCUCAUAUCAAUUGAAUUCACAUAAUUUUGGAUUUAAUUGGUAUUGGGCCUUUAAUGUCCUGUGGCUCAAGGUCUGGGUUUAAUUCCUAGCUUACACACCUUUUUUAGAGUUUUUUUUACCGAUUUUUGCUAAAUGAUAUUUGCAUCUGAAAGAAAAAACAAGGCGGGAAUACUAUUGAAAAGAUACCUCUUCGGUCAGUAACCAAUAGCGGAAUUUGGAUGCCCAUAUUGAUUACUACAUAUUUCACGAAGAUUUUCAUCGGUUGAACCACGAUAUCGAGGAUUCAGUUAAUUCUGUAUGCAAUUUCCUUUGUCCGGUGAUAUGUUACUUGCCCGAGAUUCGAUCGUCGAUAUCUCCAUACCUAGUUCAAUCUCAUCACUGGAAAGUCUUUUUACUCGUUCCGUAAUACAAGAUCUCAUGACUAAAUUCAUUAGUCAUAUGAAACUUCUUGUGAAGUUGUAUUACUGAGACGGCCCAGAGAUAUCUCUCCGCCACAUGGAGCGAUAAAUCUCAGUCUCGAUCCAUGCAACCCAACAGACACCUUCAGAGAUACCUGUAGAGCACAUUUACGAUCACUCAGUUACGAAGUGAUGUUUGAUAGCACACGAUGUAUUCCUCCAGUGUCCGGGAGUGACAUGAUCUCAUGGUCUAAGGAAUAGAUACUUGACAUUAAGAAAGCUAUAGCAAAUAACUAAGCGAUACGAUCUGUUGCUAAGCUUAAGGUUGGAUCUGCCCAUCACAUCAUUCUCCUAAUGAUGUGAUCCUAUUAUCAAAUGACAACUCGUGUCUAUGGUUAGAAAACCUUAACAAUCUUUGAUCAACGAGCUAGCCUAGUAGAGGCUCACUAGGGACAUGGUGUUGUCUAUGUAUUCACACAUGUAUUUAAGUUCCCAGUCAAUACAAUUCUAGCAUAAAUAAUAAACAUUUAUCAUGCACAAAAAAUAUGAUAAUAAUCAAUUUAUUAUUGUCUCUAGGGCAUAUUCUGAACAACCAUAUGGGCCUGAUAGCCAUAAUAACCGUUAUUAUAACAAUCUUAGCCAAAACUACUAUAGCUUCAUCUAUGGAUCACCAUAAUUUAUGAGUGUCCUUCAUAUCUGGCCUCUCAGUCGCCAUGUAUGAUAUCUCGGUGUUACCUUUAGGGUGCACUUCAUUCUUAUUGGAAAAGGAGGAUUAUCCUCGGCCAUGCAACCAUAUUAUGAAGCAAAUGAUCAACGGGUCCAAAAUUCGGUACACGCUUACAAGAGUGCACUUCAUAUGGCAGAUGCACGUAAAUUGCAUGUGGCGUGAAAAAAACUUGAGGUGAUGCGGUAACCCCCCCCCCCCCAAACACACACACACACGCCUCACAUGGGAUGGCAGUGAGGUUGAGAAAAAAAGAUGUCACAUGGAUGAGUGACCCUUAAUUACGACAGCAGCAAACAUGAAGAUUAUGUGUUUGCAUGCUGUUUUGUUUGGGCAUAUCCAAUGCUGACCCUCAAACCAGUCGCAUACGUCCGGAACGCGUGGUCCGGAAGUGUUUUGUUAUCCAAUGUGAUCCUGUAUCGGUCUGCUCGAUGGUCUGGACAUACUUUUUCCCACGAGCCGGAGACAAAAGCGGGGUGGUGGGGCUUUGCGGACGACCAGACUGCUGCCACGCCCGCUCCUGACGGCCCCGGAUCACCGAACAACCGCACCUACCUCUCCCGCACUUUCCUUCUGAUGCACGCGUCGCUUUCUGCACCACAUUAUCCGCCGCCCAGAACAAGCAGCGGCAGGUGUUGAUGCCGCGUGAUGUGACCGGACGGAGGGCGACGCUGACCUCUCGGGAGUCGCCGCUUCAAUGUAGACACAGCUUCCCGGGGAACCAAUCCCAGCCGCUGCGCCACAUUGAAGCGCAUGGUCGCCUACCCGAGGAUUGAUAAGUUCUGCUCCGGCGCCGUCCACAUCGCACUCACCGCAUGGCUCUGCACGUCUUCCUCCUCCCAUCCCUCUUCCUCCACAACUUCGGCGAUGGGCAAGUCGUGGGCCUCGGCGUCGGGAGGCGGCGGCUCUCGAAAUGGAUCGGAGGAUCGUGGCGACACCAUCCUCGAACUCUGGGUUGUCGUCCUCAUCUGCGGGCGGCUCCACGACAAAGGCAGAGAUCGUCAUCUCCUCCGGUGAUGAGUAGUACCAGCCGCUGCAGUAGCAUCGGUGCGAGCGACGCAAGGCGCGGUUUAUGCUGCCAUAAAUGAGGAGUACUGAUGACCCACAAGUAUAGGGUAUCUAUCGUAGUCCUUUCGAUAAGUAAGUGUGUCGAACCCAACGAGGAGCAGAAGGAAAUGACAAGCGGUUUUUAGUAAGGUAUUCUCUGCAAACACUGAAAUUACCGGUAACAGAUAGUUUUGUGAUAAGGUAAUUUGUAACGGGUAACAACUAAUGAAAGUAAAUAAGAUGCAGCAAGAUGGCCCAAUCCUUUUUGUAGCAAAGGACAAGCCUGGACAAACCCUUAUAUGAAGGAAAACGCUCCCGAGGACACAUGGGAAUUAUUGUCAAGCUAGUUUUCAUCACGCUCAUAUGAUUCGCGUUCGUUACUUUGAUAAUUUGGUAUGUGGGUAGACCAGUGCUUGGGUACUGCUGAGGGAGUCCCGAAUUAGGAGGUGUCCGGAUAGCCGAACUAUCAUCAUCGGCCAGACUCCAAGACUAUGAAGAUACAAGAUUGAAGACUUCGUCCCGUGUCCGGAUGGGGCUUUCCUUGGCGUGGAAGGCAAGCUUGGCGAUACGGAUAUGUAGAUCUCCUACCAUUGUAACCGACUCUGUGUAACCCUAGCCCUCUCCAGUGUCUAUAUAAACCGGAGGGUUUUAGUCCGUAGGACACAACAACAAUCAUACCAUAGGCUAGCUUCUGGGGUUUAGCCUCCUUGAUCUCGUGGUAGAUCUACUCUUGUAAUACUCACAUCAUCAAUAUCAAUCAAGCAGGACGUAGGGUUUUACCUCCAUCAAGAGGGCCCGAACCUGGGUAAAACAUCGUGUCCCUUGUCUCCUGUUACCAUCCGCCUAGACGCACAGUUCGGGACCCCCUACCCGAGAUCCGCCGGUUUUGACACCGACAUUGGUGCUUUCAUUGAGAGUUCCUCUGUGCCGUCGCAAUCAGGAAGGAUGCCUCUUCCCGUCUUUAAAGACGGUACCAUUGCCAAAGGAGCUUUGGCCGCCGGUCAAGCUAUCCGGCUAGGUGGUUUUCUUAUGACCGCCUGUUCGGCCACCGCUUCGACGAUGACCUCUCGGGUCAUCAAAAGCGAUCUUCGCGUCAACUCGGAAUUCACCGAGCAGCUGGAUCCGAUGGAGCUCUCUUCCGUAAACGAGCUCUUGGAUCGCAUCGCCGCCCUGGGAGUCGCUACAGACCACGAUCAGAUUGGGCUUAAAACCGAUCUGAGAGAAAUUAACUCUCCCCGGGCUACCCACCACGUUGUUGUGGUAGAAGAACAACGCGGCGACUCUUCUUCUAUGUUAAAAACCAGUUAUGUCCGGAUUCCCGAUCCCUCCAUGCCGGAUUCCCGCGGAGGGACGGACGUCAAUCGAGUACUGAACCUAAAGUCAGGCAGCGGACUAGAUUCGUUGGACGACGUCCAGCAAUCCAAGCUUCCAAAUCCGGAAACUCCUCGGCCUUUGAGCCUCAGAUUGGGCGGGGUUUCGAAUUUAAUUCCACCUACCCACCCAAACACAAGCGAUCUAUCUCAAAUACGGCAAGAGCUCGAUGAAACAGUACAUCAUUACUGGGCCAGAUUCCUCCUGGUUAUGGAAAGGAUAAAGGACUGUCGUGAGGAAAGCACAAUCUCUAUUUUCUGCAACAAUUGCACGGACAAGGGAAUCAUGAACGCCAUAAGUCGUCGCGAAGUUACGUGCUUCGCCGACCUGGCGACCAUAGUACGAAAAUACUGUGCGAUGGAGAGUGCCUGGAAAACCGAAACCAGAUUUUGGGACAAUCCGGCCGUGAACACAACCCUAGUCCGGAAUAAAAGGGUGCACCAUGCUCAAGCACCUGGGUCAAAAACCAAAAAGCAAAAAACCCCUAAAGGGUACGGAACCGUACUGGAGGAAUGGCUCAGCGGACCCUGCAAAAUCCAUAAUACAGAGGGCGCCACUCCAACACAUAGCCUUCGAGCAUGUUGGAUACUACGGCAGGUGGCCAAAAGUGGCGAAGGUCUUCUAGCCCCGGAGAACCGGCCCAAUAGUACCAGUACGGUAUUAACAGUCUUCGUGAGUUCCGCAUCAAAUAAUAUGUGGAAACGAACAAUCCGCAGCCUCGCCGAAGUCUACCAAGUAGCAACAACAAAUCCAUGGAGCGACACGGCUAUCACCUUCAAUGCCAGCGACGAACCUAAAUUCCGAACAGCCCGAGCACUAGCCGCAUUGGUCCUCAGUCCAAUAGUGGACGGCUUUCGUCUUACCAAGGUACUCAUGGAUGGCGGCAGCGGAUUAAACCUCAUCUACGAGGAAACCCUCCAAAAAAUGGAAAUAGACUGAAGCCGCAUUGAGCGAAGCAGCACAACCUUUAGAGGAAUAAUCCCUAGUCGGGAAGUACGCUGCACAGGAAAAAUCACACUAGAUGUGGUGUUCGGCUCACCGGACAACUACAGGUCCGAGGAAGUCACGUUCCAAGUGGCCCCGUUCAGUAGCGGAUAUCACGCUCUAUUAGGGCGAGAGGCAUUCCAAUUUUCCAAGAUGUACCCCAUUACGGGUACAUGAAGCUUAAAAUGCUCGGGCCCAAUGGAAUCAUCACUCUGGUCAGUGAUCCGGACAUAGCACUUCGCGCUGAAAAUAAGACAGCCGCACUAGCCCUAGAGGCACUAUCCGAAGCCCUAUCGGCAGAGGAACUCACUGCACUGCGCUCCACUGUGAAUAGGGAUGAUGUGAUACUCGAUAAGAGAUCUAAGUCCACCUCUUUUAAACCAGCAGACGAAAUAGUCAAAUUCCAGGUCCAUCCAACGGACCCCACAAAGACGGCCUCCAUUGGGGCACAAUUAAACCCUGAUGUAGAAGCCGCACUACGAGAAUUCCUUCGGGAAAAUUGGGACAUUUUUGCCUGGCACCCUUCAGAUAUGCCAGGAAUCCCACGCAGGCUGGCGGAGCACAGCCUAAAUAUCCUAAAAGGAUUCAAGCCAGUCAAACAGGCUCUUCGACGAUUUUCCGAACCCAAAAGACACGCAAUGGGAGAGGAGCUAGCCAAACUAUUAGAAGCCGGAUUCAUCAGAGAUAUGAAACAUCUGGACUGACUAGCGAACCUGGUAAUGGUACCAAAAAAGGACAAAUCCUGGCGCCUUUGCGUCGAUUUUAAAGACCUUAAUAAGGCCUGUCCAAAGGAUCCUUUCCCCCUUCCCCGCAUCGACCAAAUCAUCGAUGCUACCGCGGGGCACGAUUCAUUGUGUUUCCUCGACGCAUACUCCGGAUACCAUCAAAUCAAGAUGGCGGAAACAGACCAGGCCGCAACGGCAUUCAUUACUCCAUACGGACCAUUCUGCUUCAACACAAUGCCCUUCGAACUCAAAAACGCCGGCGCAACAUAUCAGCGCAUGAUUCAGACAUGUCUGGCUAUCCAGAGCGGCAAAACAGUGGAGGCAUACGUAAACGAUGUGGUCGUUAAGACCAAACACGUUAAAACUCUAGUAGACGAUUUGAGGCUCACAUUCGACAACCUCCGAGCAUAUGACAUUAAGCUCAACCCGGAAAAAUGCGUUUUCGGCGUACCAGCCGGAAAGCUCUUGGGCUUCAUUGUAUCCGGUAGAGGAAUUGAAGCAAAUCCAGCCAAGAUCCGAGCUCUGUCACAAUUGGAUAUCCCAAAAGACCUCAAACAAAUACAAAAACUGACUGGAUGCGUGGCGGCUCUAAGCCGCUUCAUCUCCCGUUUGGGAGAAAAGGCAUUGCCUCUCUACCGCCUCCUCCGGCGCACCGAACACUUCGAGUGGACGGAUGCUGCCACGGCCGGACUCGAAGAAAUAAAGGCCAUAUUAGCAACAAAUCUGGUCCUGGCCGCGCCCAACCUAGGCGAACCAAUGUUAUUAUAUAUCGCGGCAACACAUCAAGUUGUAAGCGCAGUGCUCGUCGUCGAACGAGAAACAGAAGGACACAAAUUCCCUCUUCAAAAACCAGUGUACUAUGUAUCCACUGUCUUAACUCCAUGCAAGUCCCGGUAUCCACAUUAUCAAAAGAUAGCUUACGCGGUGUUCAUGGCAUCCCGGAAGCUGCGACACUACUUUCAAGAGUGCUCGAUAACAGUGGCCUCCGAAGUACCUCUCAACGACAUUAUAAACAACCGCGACGCGACGGGCAGGAUUGCAAAAUGGGCCAUUGAGCUCUUACCAUUUGACAUAACCUACAAACCACGGUGAGCUAUAAAGUCACAAGUUUUGGCUGACUUCAUCGCCGAAUGGACCAAAGCCGAACUCCCUAAAGAGUACGACGCAUACUCCAAUUGGAUCAUGCAUUUCGACGGCUCCAAAAUGUUGGCCGGCUUGGGGGCUGGCAUCGUAUUGACAUCCCCAACCGGAGAACAGUCCAAUACGUACUUCAGAUAAUGUACACGGACUCCAACAAUGCAGCCGAAUAUGAGGCCCUUCUACAUGGUCUCCGGAUGGCAAUCUCCAUGGGUAUUCAACGUCUAGAGGUGCGCGGGGAUUCAAACCUCGCAAUAUCCCAAGUAAAUGGAGACUUUGACGCCAAGGAUCCGAAAAUGGCAGCCUAUCGUAACGCCGUCUUAAAAAUGUCAGCUCGGUUUGAAGGACUCGAAUUCCACCAUGUAGCCCGGGAUAAUAACCAGGCAGCCGACGUGUUGGCGCGCAUCGGCGCAAAACGCGACGCCGUCCCUCCAAACAUCUUCCUGGAGCGGCUCAUUAAGCCAUCCGUAUUAUGGGAAGAGGAGUCCGGAAAUAACAACCUGGAACCAACCGCGCCACCCAACACAGAACAUUCUGACAUAGUCGGUGGCUCAGCCAAUGAAAUAAUACCCUCAGCCCACGAAAUAAUGGCAGUAAUUGCCCCGUGGAUGGAACCAUUCCUAGCCUAUUUAACUAGGCAGGAACUUCCCGAAGACCAAAAUCAGGCCUGCCGCAUAGUUCGGCAAUCUAAAGCUUACAAGGUCCAUGAGGGAGAACUUUAUAAGAAAAGCACAACCGGAGUCCUUCAAAGGUGCAUCUCCGAAGAGGAAGGGCGAAAUCUCCUGGCUAAAAUUCACGCCGGACUUGGCGGGCACCACGCCGCAGCCCGGGCCCUUGUAGGCAAGGCCUUCCGUACAGGAUUUUAUUGGCCGACUGCCCGGGCAGAUGCUCAGGACUUAGUCCAACGAUGUGUCGGUUGCCAGCUCUUUGCUAAUCAAAGCCACAUGCCACCCACCACCCUCAAAACUAUACCCAUCACCUGGCCGUUCGCGGUCUGGGGGCUUGACAUGGUUGGACCCCUUAAAGGGGGAACCCGCAAGCAAAAGGACCUAUUGGUCAUGGUGGACAAAUUCACCAAAUGGAUAGAGGCCAAGCCAGUUAAAACGGCAGAAUCCGGACCCGUGAUAGACUUCAUAUCCGGGGUAGUACACCGUUAUGGCGUCCCCCACAGCAUCAUCACUGAUAACGGCACGAAUUUUAUGGCCGACGAGGUUAAAGUUUGGUGCAAAAAUAUGGGCAUCAGGCUCGACUACGCUUCAGUCUAUCACCCCCAAACUAACGGUCAAGUCGAACGAGCAAAUGGUCUAAUCAUGAGCGGCAUCAAAUCCAGAUUAGUGCGGUCCCUCACGGAAUCUAACACGCACUGGGUAGAGGAGCUUGACUCCGUACUCUGGGGGCUGCGAACCACGCUGAACCACACUACCGGAUUCACACCAUUUUUUAUGGUGUAUGGCGCAGGGGCAGUUUUGCCCUGCGAUAUAAUUCGUGACUCACCUCGCGUGCGCAUGUACGAAGAAAGAGAAGCCGAGUUGGAUCGGCAGGACAGUUUGGACGCCUUAGAGGAGGAGCGGGACGUGGCAAAAGCUCGUUCCGCAUUCUAUCAGCAGCAGGCUCGAAGAUAUCAAAGAAGAAAAGUACGGGCCAAAACUUACAAUGUUGGCGAGCUAGUUCUACGCCUGCCGGACAAGAAAAAGGACAAACUUAAGCCCAAAUGGGAAGGUCCCUUCAUCAUCGACCAAGUCCUGACCGGCGGAGCAUACCGUCUACGUAACGCAACUGACAACCGACUCGAGCCGAACCCAUGGAACGCAGCCCGUCUCCGAAGAUUCUACGCCUAGCGCCGGACUCAGAGUUCGUCUCCUUCCUCUGUCCACCUUUUAUAUUUUCGUUGUCUUUUGUUCCCCUCCUUCUUCCCCCUUUUUAGUAAAAGCCUUUGAGGGCUGAUCUGCGCAUUGUUCGCACACACUUGAUGUGCUACUCGCACUCAUUAUACCUGGGGGCUUCUUUAACAGAAGCUUAUUUAUACGGGCUUCAUGCCCAACACAUGUGUCAUACUUCCGCAUGUACCUUUUAUUCACCAUUAUAUGCAUCGAUAUGACUUAAGUUUUGGCCAAGCUGGGUUGCCUGGCUCCUGUGCUUACCCCUACGUUCCCGAUUGUUCGGCUAUGAGGUAAAGGGAGCACCUCUGCGAUUGUUACUGUCGGGUCAGCCGGAUGUGUACCUUGGACUGGGUGAAGCCGAAAGCUAGUGUUCUUAAGGGAAUAUUUGGUCGGUGACUUGAAAGAUGAUUUAUUACUUAUUUAUUUAUCUGCCCCCAGAUGCUUUAGAGCAUGCCUCCCAGGGAAAGGAACCCCUAACGGAACUAUUCUCCCUGGAAGAUGUUUCUUACUAACCAUGUAAUAUAACAUAACUAGGUGGGCACUUGUCUGAUAAAGCACUAAUGACCCCUACGCCUGGUCUCCAUGCAUGCCCCGGUUUUUAUAUAACCGUUAGGGUAUUCGGACACACUCCGGACUGUUGGGUCCUGAGGUUGAAGCGAAAAGGUCCGCAAAGACAAACGAUCUACAAUCCGGCUAGAAGGCUUUUUACAUGUCAUUUUAAAAUUACAUCGUCAAAUUGACUGAUUGAACUCCUCUUCAAUCCCAUCUAACAGGUUGUCUAGUUUACAGUCCCGUUGGGAAUAUUUCGCGACCAACUCUACUUGGCCGUACAUUAAGCUCACAGGGAUCUCCUUCCCAUCAGGCCCCACAGGUCCGACCUCGGCCAUGUGGUUUGGAUCAGCCUUCGUGUACCGCGUCUUCACCAUGGCCCAGGCCUCUCUGACGCCUUGACGGCAGGCCGAUAUCUUCCACAGACGGAAGCGCUGCCGUACUCCCUGAAGCUUCUCAGCAAGCCCCCCAAGACCCUCGGGUAGGGAGACGGACGACCAUAAGGCCUGAAUGACGCCGCUCAUCGCCUGCCGAAUACGUUCGUGCAGUUGCAACAGCUCGGGAAGAAGGUCACCCGUGGAACCAGGCAUUUCCUCCACCGAACGACCCGUGAGCACACCUACAGACACAUUUCUGUCAAUCGACUUCCUCGCCGAACUCUUCUUUUCAAAAGAGUUUGCUCAAGCACUUACUGUAAAUGCCGCGAUGAAGCCGCCGAUUCUCCUUUACGGAGUCAGACAGCUGGACCCAAACAUCUUUUAGUUCUUUGCCCAGCUGGGUGUUGGCAUCUUGGAGUUUGUUCCUCUCCUGUUGCACCCUCAUAAGCACCUUCUCGCCGGCCUUCAGCUGGCGCAGCAGAUGUUGCUUGUCCGGUUCCAGUCCGGCACCCUCUACAAUAUUAUUGCCAGACUUACGCACACGCCGUACUUCAUAAACUACUUAUCUUUUUGAAGUAUGUAUUACCAGAGGGGGUCUCUGUGGCUCCCCCCUGCGGCAGCUAGCGCGGCCUCAAGUUGGGCCUUGCACUCUUGAAGCUCCUGGGACAGACAGGUAUUCUUCUCCGUAAGAUCCUGCAUAACAAAUGAUCCUUAAAUAAGUUAUUUUAACUACUUUAAGUCUCGGGGGCUAUUGGCAUAUAUAACUAUUAAAAUUCCUCACCCGUAUGUCUUUCACAUACUGCUCCGUGGCUCUGGUUAGACCAUCUCGAGCGGCACGGAGGUGCGCGUCUCCCGCAUUAAAGGCAUUCAGUGCCUCGGGAGAGAAACACGCGUCACAAAGAACCGUCCGGCGGCGCCUGUGAUUCAUGGCGCUCUCCACCUCAGACCUGGUGGCGGACAUCCUGUCGGCAUCCUCCAUUGGAGGAGCAUCCGGCUCAUGCCUUGUGUUCGCCUCCCCUUCCGGAUAAGGCGUUGGAGCAUGGCUGGCGGAGGCUUGAUUGGCAACCUCUCCGGACACUGUCCGGUGAGCGCUCUUUCUCCUGGAAAAAUCAUGAGCGUUAAUAUACCUCCUAGGAAUCUUUCCCUUAAAAACGGCGGUGCGCCGUACCAUUGCAACGACGUUUCGAUUCGCGCCGCACUCCUCUUCCGCCUGCUGGGCCGAACUGACCCUUGUUGGUCAGCCCCCGCGGGUUCGGCUUCCCGCCUUAAAGGCGCCUCCUGCGGAGCACCAUUGGUAUACAGUGGUCAGAAAUGAGCAUGUACCAAGUAAUGGUGUCAGGACUCCGGUCGUAGUCACCUGGGAAGCCAGAGAUAAACUGGGGUAGUCAGCCGUAAUGGCGACUAGAGCAUUGUCCAUGCUAAGUUGGUGGAACACCCCGUCAAUCAGCUCCACCUUUAUGUCUGAAUCCUCUUCGGAGGCCGGAUCAAGGGGUCGUCUCGGAUCCUCGGGCUGUGGAGUCAGGCUUUGUAUGCCCUCCACGUCCCGGCGCAGCUCCUGCGUCAAAAUCACAAAGUGAGACACUUGACUUUGGGAAUAUGGAUCGGAUAGAUAAACGUCCGCUUACCCAGCUCCGAGGGUUAUUCAUGGAGAAUCCAUUCAAUGGACUUGUGCGGAGGAAGUCCUCCUUCUCCCCCUUGUACAAGCCGGACAGGAUCUUCACCAGAUCGGCGGCCGAUCCCGGCCCCUUGCGGCCAUGACGGGUGGCGUCAUCCUUCCCGUUGAAAUCCCACAUGGGGUGGCCCCUAUAUUGGAGUGGCUGCACCCCUCGCAUAAUGCAUGUGGCCAUGACUCCAAUCAUGGUCAAUCCGGAGUGGGCCAGUAACCUUAUCCGGCCCAUCAGAUAUUGGACGCUCCCAUCAUCUUCCCGUUGAGGGCUUCGCAGGCGCCAACUCAGGCGUUUCUUUAGGGGAGCGUUGCUGAACUCCGGGAGGCCGAUCCGAACUGGAUCCGGCAGAGGGGCGUCUUCCAUAUAAAACCAUUCCGAAGGCCAGUCUUCGAACGCCUUCUUCGGGGUUCCGGAUAGAUAUCCGGUCUCGGCGAUGCGCCAUAUUUUGGCUUCGCCCACUUGAUAUAUCGACCCCUCGUGAGAACGGGGUACGAGGCAAAACAAUCUCUUCCACGGCACAAAAUGGGGCUCGAUGCCCAAGAAUAGCUCGCAAAGAGCUACAAAGCCCACGAUGUGCAAAAUGGAGGCAGGUGUAAGGUGGUGAAGCUGGAGUCCAUAGAACUCCAGGAGCCCCCGGAGAAACGGAUGUAUGGGAAAUCUGAGUCCCCUUAUUAGAUAAGGGACGAAGCAUACCCGCUCUCCUUUGGAGGGAUUGGGGACGCUCUCCGCCUGCUUUCCACCCUUGUAGGUGGCCAGUCCGGCUCGAACCGGAACCAUGAAGGCUGGGGGAAGAUAUCCCUCUGCUUGGAGCGUCACUAGCUCGCUAUGUGGAACUGAACAUCUCCUCCAAUCUCCUGGCUGAGGGCUGGGAGCGCGAGAGGAGGAUCCGCGUCGACUAUCCAUGAUGGAAUGGAUUUUUGUCAGAGGCGCUUCGAUGAGUACUUGCGGAAGGAGGAUGGUGUGAUUUGGAUCUAGAUCCUCGCCUCUCUUAUAGGCAGCUUAUUCGCGCGGCUAGGGGGUAAAACGCAAAAAUACCCUAGCUUUUCGCAUUCAUACGACACAUGGAAGAUGGCCAUUAUUGGACGUGGAAGCCAAGGAGCGCAACAUUUAUAAGGAAGCCGGACACUAUUCAGCAGGCACAUGGAAUUUGAAGGAGAACCCGCCUUGCAACGCCGAAGACAAUAUGCGCACUAGACUCGUCGUCAUUGAAGCCUGGUUCGGGGGCUACUGAGGGAGUCCCGGAUUAGGGGGUGUCCGGAUAGCCGAACUAUCAUCAUCGGCCGGACUCCAAGACUAUGAAGAUACAAGAUUGAAGAUUUCGUCCCGUGUCCGGAUGGGGCUUUCCUUGGCGUGGAAGGAAAGCUUGGCGAUACGGAUAUGUAGAUCUCCUACCAUUGUAACCGACUCUGUGUAACCCUAGCCCUCUCCGGUGUCUAUAUAAACCGGAGGGUUUUAGUCCGUAGGACACAACAACAAUCAUACCAUAGGCUAGCUUCUAGGGUUUAGCCUCCUUGAUCUCGUGGUAGAUCUACUCUUGUAAUACCCACAUCAUCAAUAUCAAUCAAGCAGGACAUAGGGUUUUACCUCCAUCAAGAGGGCCCGAACCUGGGUAAAACAUCGUGUCCCUUGUCUCUUGUUACCAUCCGCUUAGACGCACAGUUCGGGACCCCCUACCCGAGAUCCACCGGUUUUGACACCGACAACUGCCCUUUCUUGGACAAGCAUCCCACUUAUGAUUAACCCCUAUUGCAAGCAUCCGCAACUACAAAAGAAGUAUUAAGGUUAUAGCAUGAAACAUAUGGAUUCGAAUCAGCCCCUUACGAAGCAACGCAGAAACUAGGGUUUAAGCUUCUGUCACUCUAGCAACCCAUCAUCUACUUAUUACUUCCCAAUGCCUUCCUCUAGGCCCAAAUAAUGGUGAAGUGUCAUGUAGUCGACAUUCACAUAACACCACUAGAGGAGAGACAACAUACAUCUCAUCAAAAUAUCGAACGAAUACCAAAUUGACAUGACUACUUAUAGUAAGACUUCUCCCAUGUCCUCAGGAACAAACGUAACUACUCACAAUCAUGUUCAUGUUCAUAAUCAGAGGGGUAUUAAUAUGCAUAAAGUAUCUGAGCAUAUGAUCUUCCACCAAAUAAACCAACUAGCAUCAACUAUAAGGAGUAAUCAACACUACUAGCAACCCACAGGUACCAAUCUGAGGCUUUGGGACAAAGAUUGGAUACAAGAGAUGAACUAGGGUUUUAGAGGAGAUGGUGCUGGUGAAGAUGUUGAUGAAGAUUGACCCCCUCCCGAUGAGACGAUCGUUGGUGAUGACGAUGGUGAUGAUUUCCCCCUCUCGGAGGUAUGUUUCCCCGGCAGAACAGCUUCGCCGGAGCCCUAGAUUGGUUCCGCCAAGGUUCCGCCUCGUGGCGGCGGAGUUUCGUCUCGAAAGCUUGCUUAUGAUUUUUUUUAGGGUAAAAGACUUCAUAUAGCAGAAGAUGGGCACCGGAGGCCUGCCAGGGGGCCCACAAGGUAGGGGGCGCGCCCAGGGGGGUAGGGCGCGCGACCCACCCUUGUGGCCAGGGUGUGGGGCCCUUCUGGUUGAUUCUUUCUCCAGUAUUUUUUAUAUAUUCCAAAACGUGCCUCCGUGAAGUUUCAGGACUUUUGGAGUUGUGCAGAAUAGGUCUAUAAUAUUUGCUCCUUUUCCAGCCCAGAAUUCCAGCUACCGGCAUUCUCCCUCUUCAUGUAAACCUUGUAAAAUAAGAGAGAAUAGGCAUAAGUAUUGUGACAUAACGUGUAAUAACAGCCCUUAAUGCAAUAAAUAUAAAUAUAAAAGCAUGAUGCAAAAUGGACGUAUCAAGUACGAGCAACAGAUAGAGGUGAUGCUCUGUCACACCGUCAUCCACCUGAGCGGCCCGGUGCACCAUAGGGGACGCUCCUCCCCGUGAAUAUGGAGCAUGUGUCCCCUCCGCGCUCUCCCCGGGCAAGCGCGACGUCCAAAUCGAAUGUCGCGUGAAGGAGUAGCCCCUCUCGCCGCCCCGACGCGUCAAGGAGGAGCGGCUCUCUCCGCCGCCCCGCCGCAUCAAGGAGGAGCGUCGCUCGCCAUGGCCCAUGCCCUAGGCAAUCACCAUGGCAGCUGUUCGUCGUCCCGGAGUGCCUUAACGCCGCAGGAGUACGCCGAAAGGGAGUGGCGCCGACGAGACAGGCGCAACGCAGUGUGUCGGUCGAAGUUCGAGGACUCCGAUGUCCCGCCGCCACACAUUGCGUCAGACAUGGACCUGGCGUACACCUGGGCCCUGGACCGCUCCAUGACGACGGCAGAGACGAGCAAGCAACGGCUCCGCCGCCUUGAUGGGGAGAUGGCCAAGUACAGCGAGGUGUGGUCUCUCAGCGAGAUCGCCGCCGCCAAUGCUGCCUCCACCAAGGCUCGCCGCCCUCCUCCCCCCUCCCCACAUCGUUUUUGGCGGCGACCGUAUUGUGCAGGGUGCAGGAGGAAGUGGAGAGGAUCAUUCGCGAGCAUUAGGCGCCUGCGGGGAAGCCCUCCCGCGACGCCCCCGCUCGAAGCCCAACGCCGAUGACUCCAACAACGGCUCAAGCGACGAUGACGGGGGAGCCGCCUGCUAGGCCGGCAUGGCCUACAAGGUCACCGUUAAGUAUAGGGUAGUGUAGGGUUAGGUUUUUAGUUUACUGGACAAAAUUUGUCCUGUUGUAUGUAAAAAUCAUCCUAGUUUAAAUGAAUAUCAUUCGGUUUGUUUGAGUUUAAAUCAAAUUUGUUCAUUUUCGUUAAUGUUUAUUUGAAAUGUAACCGAACAUAUGCGGGUAGCUUUGAAUGGCCGGCUCCCGCAUCCAUGUCCACGGACUGAUCCCCUUGUCCACGGACGGAUGCGAGAGUAAAUAUGCGGGUCAGCAUUGAAGAUGCUCUUAGCCUUCAUAUUCAUAUGGAGCGCACUUUCACAUGUAUAUAAAGGCUGUCAAUUGCUCUUAGAAUAAUUAGAUUAGUUACCAGGGGCAUUUUUGUUAUAUCUCAGUAUGUAGCUGUACAUCACGAUCGUGAAGUCGUGAAGACCUGGUGCGUUGUUUCGGUCAGUACUUGGAGAUCCCUUGUCGCUUUCCUCGAUGCAUGGAGAAGAUUAUUCCUCAGAAAGUUCCAACCUCAGUAUGCAGCUGUACAUCACGAUCGUGAAGUCGUGAAGACCUGAUGCGUUGUUUCGGUCAGUAUGAAAAGACUGCCCUGACAUGCAUGUCCAAUCCAGUGAACUGGGGCAACCUUUUUUGAGGUCAACUGGGGCAACCUUGACUCAACGCGUCAGUCCGUUGUCGCAACGAAAAUACGUUUUUUCGUUAGAAAAAUACAGAGAAUAUCUAACGACUCUACGUGCGGCGGUGCUUCCGGCUCGCAUGAGACAGCAUCCUCUCUGCGAGUGCUGAACACAGGUGUACUUUGUGGACAGAACUUGUUACGGAGAACCCACGGCAGUGCGAAUCGGUCCAUCCCACCGGUUUUCUCCCGGCGAGCUGCAAUCACGGCGGACAAAACGAGUGGAAUCCUUCGUUCGUAGUCGUAGUACUACAGCGAGAGCUUCUCAGAAUACGUACGUACCGCCUGUCACAUUGCGACACUCCGUGUGUGUGCGUGGCUCCGGGCAUCUUGCAACAGAGUGCCUGAUUCAGAGGGCACGAGGAUUCCAGAUGUCUGUGGCUGGGAAUAUCACCAGGUCAACACACCAAACGUUUGAACCUGACGCUAGGCGGCAAAAGACAUAAAUUUGAUCUCAAGACGAAACUAUUUCACAAACUAAACUAUGUUUAAAAGUAUUUCACCCAGCUGACCCAUAAUGUACAGCGCCUAAUAUCAAGGCGCUACGCUCUACUGUGCAGCGCCUAACACACAGGCGCCACAUUGUGCAGCGCCUAACUGUAAGAAGUUGCACUACACUGUGCAGCGCCUAGCUGUAAGGAGUUGCACAGUAGGGUGCAGCGCCUUACUGUUGGGAGCUGCACAAAAAGAUUGGCGGUGUGAAAUAUUUUUAAAAACAGUUUAGUUUGUGAAAUACUUUCACUUUGAGGUUAAAUUUAUCAAUUCUGCCACGCUAGGCAGUAUCGACUUUUUGACACAGCGGCGCGGCCGUACUACUGCAUCGCCCCGGGCAUCUCGGACGUUGCUGAGUGAGAGACUGAGAGUCAAGUACCUAAUUUUUCUACAUGAACGCGUAAGUGUUAGUAGUGAUUGUGAUGAAUUCCAACUAUUUUGAAGAUCUGUGUAAAUGGCUUCACAAAUUCCGGUUUGGACCAUCCAUGCCCCCGAGAUUUUGUGCGGCAUUGCCUACCUUCUGGAGGAGUUAAAACAUCCCAAGUCUUAAAACUUGCACAAAAUAUGAUGAUUUGGUCCAAAAAUUGGAAACCUUCACCCCGCGGCCCUCAAACUUAUAUUAGAAAUGACAAUUUAGUCCUAAGCCUAUCACAACGCGACAUGUGGCGGCCAAGUGGCCGGACCGGUUGGCUCAUGCAUUUAUGCAAAAAAAAACGUACUGUUUUCCCUAUUCAACCCGCAGGACAGCUCACCUAAAUUAAAUUUGUCUCCUCGCACACAUUUCAUUUCGUUGUCACCCAUGUUCUAUGCUAUCGGGGCCAACAGGAGCUCAGCGGCGAUCACCUGUUGAUGACGUCAGCCACCACGGCAUCGCCGCCGGAGUUAACCGACGGUGUGGAGGCGCCUCCUCCGCUCAUCUCAUCUGCCCGUUCGGCGUCUUCCCUUCGAAGUAUUGUGAGUUGUCUUCCUCACUCUCCUCUGCUCUGCUCCGUUUGUCGCCUGCCGGUUCUGCUGUCGACAACGCCGCUAAUUGGUGUGAUUCGAGCUCGAUUCAAGGUCGUCUAGUGUUGUUGCUUGCUUAGGGUUCUUGCAGAGAUGUAGAGCUAGGGUCUUGCCUGCAUAUCGAGCUGGCCCAUUAGCUUAGGUCGCUUGCUUGCUUCCCUAGCUUCAGCUCAGCUCACUCGAUGACGUACUGGUUGUCUGAUUUUUCUUUUAUUUUUUCAUUUUCUUUCUUUCUUUUACUUUUCGUUUAUUUUGUUUCUUUAGUGGUUUCUUACUAGUUUUCUUGGGUUCUUUCAUGGGUUUUACUGAUUUUUUCCUUUUUUUCUUCUUCUUUCGUUCUUUUUUGGUUUUCACUGGUUUUUUUAUUUUGUGCCUUUCUUUCUUUGUUUUUCCUCAUUGUCCUGUUUCUAUUUUUGGGUUUCUUCAUUUUCGUUUGUUCCUUCUCAUGUUCAUUCUUUCGCAUUGUUAUUUUUCGAUUUUUAUUUCCUUUUUGGUUUUAAACUUUUAAUUGGUUUUCUUCUCUUUCCUGUGCCUUUUGUCAAUUUUCAUGGGUUUCUGUUUUGUUCAACACAUGUUUCUUUUCUGUAUAGAUUCAACAUUUUGGGUAUGCAACGGGCACACUUUUCAUAUACACUUUUAACAUUUUCUCAAUACAUGGUUACGUUUUCUUUGUUUCUUUCAUGGUUUUCCUCGAUUUUCCUUUUCAUACUCAUUCCUUUUUUUAUUUUGGGUUUUGUUUCUUUCAUGACUUUUCACUGGUUUCUUUUGUUUUCUUUGUUUCUUUUUUGGUAUUUAUUUUUCUCCAUUCUUUUGCACUUGUUUUUUCAAUUUUGUUUUUCAUGUUCCUUUUUUACUUGGUUUCCUUUUGUUUCUUUUGUGCGUUUCAUUGAUUUUUUUACAUUCUUUGUUUAUAUUGGUUUUUAUUCUACAAUUUUCGUAUACAUCAAGAACAUUUCUCUAAUACAUGUUUAAUAUUUUUUUAAACAAGUUAAACAUUUUUUCAAUAAAAAGGUAAAUUUUUUCUUUUUACAUUUUUAAAAUUUAAGAUUGCCAUUUUUUAAUACAUGGUCAACAUUUUUUCUACAGACAUUAACAUUUUCAAAUGCUUGAUUAAAAUAUUUCAAAUAAAAGAUUAAUAUUUUUCCUAUACAUAGUCAACAUUUUUUCUAUACACAUUUAAAAAAUUUGCAUUGGUUUUCUUUGGGUUAUAUUUUUUUGGUUUUUAUUUGUUUUCUUCGUAUUCCUGUGCUUUUUGUCGAUUUUUAUCGGUUUCUUUUUUUGUUCAAUGCAUGGUUCUUACUGUACACAUUCAACAUUUUUCGUAUACAUCAUGAACAUUUUUAUAUGCAAGUUUAACAUUUUCCCUAUACAUCGUUAAAAUAUUUGAAAACUUAUAUUUUUAUGUCUAUUCUUUUAUUAUAUAUGCUAAUGUCUAUUUUUUUCUCAUAAACCUUGUACAUUUUUCGCAUUCAUAUGAGACAUUAUUUUUAUACAUGUUCAACAUUUUAAAAAUACCUGAUUAACAUUUUUAAAUGCAUGUCUUGAUGUUUACAAUUUCUAUAUACAUCAAGUACAUUUUUAUACAUGUUUAUUUUUUUUCUAAAACAAUGAUUAACUCUUUUUAAAUACAUGUUUCGAUGUCUUCUUUGUGCCAUACGCAUUUGUACAUUUUUCAUAUACAACUGAGACAUUUAUCUUGUAUAAGUUUCACAUUUUCCAUAUUUAUGAUUAACUUUUGUUCAAAACACAUGUUUUUGAACAGUGUUGCUUGGAUAUUAGUUAAACAUGUUUUUCAAAUAAGUGUUGAAACAUUUUUUUCAAAAGCUAUCAACAUUUUUUUUCAAAUUUCAGUAAAAAAAUUAAAAUAUGUGUACAUUUAUAUUUUUAGAAAAUGUAAACAAGUAAAAAAAAAAGAGAAAAGAAAAAACGAAAUCAAGUGAACGAAUGAAAAACGAUCGAGCGAACAGGCCACUGUGCCGGCCUAUUACCAUGUCGUUCCAGGCAAGUGGACGGUUUGUCUUGCUAGAAGCGAGAUAUAGCCGCGCCUGUGUCUUCCCCACAAAAAGAAAAAAAAGCUCAUGUAGAUGUCCAGUAGCCUGAAUUGGGUUAUGUACGAUACCAUACUCUUUGACUGAUCAUAGCUUUUUUGUUGUUGUUGCGGAAGACUGAUCAUAAAAUACAAAGAUUUUACCCGCAAAAAAAUAUAAAGUAAAAUAAAAUACAAAGAUUUAGAGGAUGCGUCAAGCAUUUACCACGCUAAAUCACAUUUGAAAAGCGAACUAUGCAAAAUUGACGAAAUAAUAACUCACAUACAUCUGCAUUUUUCAGAAGAUACAUAACCAUAUAAACACCGAAAUUUGCACAUGUAUAAUUGGCAAAAUGAACAAUAACAUAAAGGUAGCUAUAACAAUUGUCUGUUUAUUCUAUUUUUGAUGCUACUGAUUUCUUGCUUUCGAAUACAAAAUAAACAAAGCAAAGCGAUGGUAUGAUUACUUAACGACCUGACUGCAGAUCAUUAACAGCUUUCUUCUCGAUGCUGAAAUAUUCGGCACUGGUUAUUGCCGAGCUGGCCAUCGAUGAGGGCUCUCCAAGUAGGCAUUCCAUCUCUUCAGGGUUCCGCUGUACCCAUGGAUGUUGCAUCACCUUCCUCAGACUAUCAAGCUUCUCCGCAACUUCCUUCAUCGAUGGCCUAUUGUCACCACACAUCUCUAAGCAUCGCAUCGCUAGCUCCGCGAUCUCUUCAAUAAUCUCUGUGUUAUCCCCAUCCUUGAUCUCAACAUCCAAGAUUUGAUCGAGCUUAUUCUCCUUCAUGGCAUACAUAAACAUCAUUGAUAGGCUCUUCUCGUGGGCAGGGACAUCCGGAUUAAAAUUAAAUGGCAAUUUGGCCGUGAGUAGCUCCAACAAAACAACCCCAAAGCUGUACACGUCGCUCUUGUCCGUUAGCAGGUUGGUUUGCAUGUACUCCGGGUCAAGGUACCCGCAUGUUCCAUGUACCAGUGUGAUGAAUUGUGACUUAUCAGUUGGUGCCAGGAUGGAGGCGCCAAAGUCAGAAACUUUAGCUUGGUGGUCCAUGUCAAGAAGAAUGUUGGGGGACUUGAUAUCGCCGUGGAGGAUCGGCGUCGAAGCCGAUGAGUGGAGGUAGGCAAUCGCGUCGGCGGACUCGUGGGCGAUCCCCAAGCGAGUAGCCAGGGAGAUACGCAUGCCAUGGUUACCGUGUAUAAGCUGGAAGAGGGUGCCGUUUGGGACGAACUCGUAGACCAGCAUGGGGACUUCCACUUCGAGGCAACACCCGAGGAGCUUCACAAUGUUUCUAUGGUUGACCUGGGACAAGAUUAGCAUCUCUUUACCAAAUUCUUUUUUUUGUUGCUCGUCAAUGGUCUUGCAUCUCUUCACCGCUACUUCCACGUCGCCCUUAAGAAUCCCCUUGUACACGGUUCCAUAGCCCCCUUGACCAAGUACUUGUUGCUCACUAAACCUGUUCGUGGCUUGCUGCAGUUCUUCUUCCGUGAAGAUUUUGAAUGCAAUACCUUGCUUUGACCUCAUCUCAUCAAAUAAUAUUAGACCACCGUGCUGCCGAAAGUAGUCUCGUUUCAUUUUCUGUAGCUUUCUUCUCUCUUGGAUCAUGCAUGCACAUGCUAAAGCAACCACAAAGACGACUACUCCAACACUUGCACCUGCAUGAUUAUCCAUCCACAUAGAGGUAUGAGACAUUCAUUCAAUAUUAAUGUAAUUAGUUGACCAGUGGAAACUUAAAAGUAAUCUGCUUUUUUUCUUCUUUCGAAAAGGAGGUUGAGCCCCCGGCCUCUGCACCAUUAAUUCAUUAUGAUGCACACAACCAUAAAAGUAAUUUGUUUGAAGAGAGAAAAAUACACUGCUGCCAAGAUAAAAUUUGUCAAACACUACUUGUUGUUAAACAACAUAAUACUGGUCUAUCGUGUUGGAGUUAUUCUGUUCUAUAUAUUACUACUCCCUCAUUAUGGGACGGAGGGAGUACUAUAUAUAGCAUACAAAGUAAGUUCUUAAGCUUCCGUACCGCUGUGUGUUUUUAUAGUGCUCACCAAAGAGUAGAACUCACCUACAACAGGCAUCACCGGAAAACGGGAAGGCUUUUCAACGCAAACAUCAUUCACCAUGGAACUUCCUGGGUUGCAUGAGCAGGUGUGAUUCCCCGGCGUGUUCUCACAGAUCCCAUUGCCACAAGCAUUAGCAUUUUCAAGGCACUCAUUAAUAUCUGAUACAGAACAAUUAGUUUCAAUUCAAGUUGCCAAGUUGUGCAUACACAGGUGACUCAUGAACUAAUUAAGGUAGUACUACGAGAGAGCUCAUGUCAAAUGUACAAGGCAGCAAAAGGGAAGUCACCUUGGCAUCCGUCCGUGAUGUAUGGGUUACCUCUGUACCCAUCGGAGCAAUUGCAGAGGUAACCUGGCUCGAUGGUGGUGGCAUUCACACACACACUGUUGCUGCUAACACAUGCGUAAGAACUCGUGUUCUUAGCUUCCUCGCAAGCGUGAGCAUCUAUUUUCCAGUCCAGGACAAUUGGAACUACCCCAUUGGAUGUCUCAUCGAACACUGAAGAAUUUGAUCUCACAUAGCUGGUGUUGAAACUGAAAGCUGCCUUUUCCAUCAAUGUCACGUAGCUGCAAGGGUUGUCUGGCCAGGUAGAAGUGUUGUAGUUUUCGUUGAAAUAGCCAUGAUAAUACUGUAUGCCUUUUGGGACAUCGGCUUGGCAGCAGCCAGCACCAGAGCAUUUGCCGUUCUCGAGGGUGACGUUCUUGCAUGUUGAACGGCAACCUAUUACAUACUGCACGGAAACCCUAUAUGAGAUGUAUUUAAACAAACCAACAAUUAAAUCAAGGAAUUACGUGUUUUUUAUUGUAAGGAAAACAUCUAUUUGUAGCAUCUAAAAAAACUAUUUGAAGAAAAAAAGCCUUGUUAAUCUAUUCAUUGUUGAUUAAUGAAAAUACACGUCUUAUAUUAAAUUAGGGAGGAAAUAACUGUGUAUAUGUUCCUAGCAAAAAUGCUACACGUACGGAUUUGUUUUACAAGGAUUUACAGACCAACCCUCCUCCCUCACUAAUCUCCUCCCCCCUGAGUUUCAGGAUGGGGCCCGCCUCAUCUAAUUACCAAUUAAACCAGCCCACCUCAGCAUUGCCUGUAAAAGUCCUGUAAAGCCUCCGUACGUCUAGCAUUGCCGUGUUCCUAGCUGGCCUCGUGAAGAAUCCUUCAACCACCUGCUUGACAAGCCAAGUUCGUACGUGUACGUGCGCGUGACCACCUCCGACGUCUUGAUCGGCCAGUGGACAAUAAUCCUAGACGCACCAUCUCACGGGCAUCUUAAUACUAAUUAGUCUCCGCCCCUGAUUUUUAUGGGGAUGAGCCCGCCUCGCUCCUAGUCUCCAAUCAAAAACUGCCACCUAUUAAUAAUCCGUUGAUUCCGUAAUAACGACUCCGAGCGUGUAGCAUUACUCGGUGAGUGGAUCUUAUGCUUCCGGCGGCGCGCUACAGCCGGGGGUCGUGGUGUCCCCCGUCCAUGCAGUGUGCCGAGAUCACCAGGCCGGGAGCAGCAGCCUGGCCAGGAGGCGCCGCUCUCCGGUGGUGGCCAUUGCGCCGGAAUAGGUCAGUGUCGGCGCGGGCUGCGGCAGGAGGGGAUUGGGGGCUUGGUGUUGGCCGGAGAGCUACUGUAUGCGGGCGCCAGUUCGGUUCAACUUGGAUCUGGUUCGGUUCUUUUUUUUUAAAUGAAAAGGGGUUUCUCCCUCGCUCCAUUUUUAUAAAACGAAGCAUAGCAGUUCACGGCAUUCAGGCCUAUCAUGAGUAGGCCAAAUCAGAACGCGUAGGCACCCAAAACGGACGUCUGAAACUUCGGAGACAUAGUCUGGUUUGGUUCCCUACUGUUAAAAGGAAAAUCAGACGACAAAGUACAAAAAAAGACCGUGGAUGUGGCGAAUGUUUAAAAAAAGGACCAGGGACAUGGCACGUCCAAUAUCAAAAUCGGGGAAAACACUAAGUGGUGUAAAAUGUAGCACAAAUUUGUUUAAAUGGGGUAUAAAUUGUAUACGGGAAAAAAAGAGGUAUGAAUUAAGAAUUUUCGCUAAAAAAUGUGAUAAUAUAUGUCAUAAACAGAAAAUUUAAGGUAAAAAAAAUGAAAUUAACUCUAAUAAAAAUGCCGAAAUUACUUACAGUAGAGCUUGUCAUAUAAGCGAGAGUAUUGCACCCGAUGACGAUAAUCUUGUUAUCCACCUCGGAUAUCCAGAAAGGUGAAUCGGUGAGGUUCAGCCCAAAGUUAAUGUAGUUCAUACUUCUAGCGGCUGGGUCAUAGCACUGCGACGAGAUCGCCCUGGUAUUCAUUCGGACCUUGGCCUCAGGCAAAAUGAUCUUAGUCACCUCGAAAUUCCCCUUAAGAGGCUUCUUGACGCCAUCCACAGACGUGUUCGUGCAGCUGAGGUUAAAGCCGCUGUGCAAAGCGCACUUGUCGCCGAUGCCGAACGGGAACGGGAUGUCGACGUCCCCGCACUUGGCCGGGCAGCCGGGACGCUGGCCUGCCGGUACAUCCGCCAUGGCCAGGACCCAAAUCGCCGAAAGGCAGAGAAGAACAUGGCAAGAAAGAAGAAACCGAGAACACCCCAGCUUCACCAUCGCAGGUUAACCGGUAGGUGUGGAUGUGUG